GCAACCCACAUCCUAGUUGCCAGCAGUUCGGCUGGGCACUUAUGGAAACUGCCCGUGAUAAGCGGGAGGAAGGUGUGGAUGACGUCAAGUCCUCAUGGCCCUUACGGGUUGGGCUACACACGUGCUACAAUGGCAACUACAGUGAGUUAAUCUCCAAAAGUUGUCUCAGUUCGGAUUGGGGUCUGCAACUCGACCCCAUGAAGUCGGAAUCGCUAGUAAUCGCGUAACAGCAUGACGCGGUGAAUACGUUCCCCGGGCCUUGUACACACCGCCCGUCACACCAUGGGAGUUGGUUCCUACCCGACGGCCGUGCGCUAACCUCUUCGGAGGAGGCAGCGGACCACGGUAGGAUCAGCGACUGGGGUGAAGUCGUAACAAGGUAGCCGUAR
rnacentral:rRNA from 1 species